rnacentral:rRNA from 1 species
CGGGGUGGUUGGUUCGGAUUAUUGGGCGUAAGAGCUCGUAGGCGGCUUGUCGCGUCGGAUGUGAAAGCCCGGGGCUUAACCCCGGGUCUGCAUUCGAUACGGGCAGGCUAGAGUGUGGUAGGGGAGAUCGGAAUUCCUGGUGUAGCGGUGAAAUGCGCAGAUAUCAGGAGGAACACCGGUGGCGAAGGCGGAUCUCUGGGCCAUUACUGACGCUGAGGAGCGAAAGCGUGGGGGGCGAACAGGAUUAGAUACCCUGGUAGUCCACGCCGUAAACGUUGGGCACUAGGUGUGGGUCACAUUCCACGUGGUCCGCGCCGCAGCUAACGCAUUAAGUGCCCCGCCUGGGGAGUACGGCCGCAAGGCUAAAACUCAAAGGAAUUGACGGGGGCCCGCACAAGCAGCGGAGCAUGUGGCUUAAUUCGACGCAACGCGAAGAACCUUACCAAGGCUUGGCAUACACCGGAAACGUCCAGAGAUGGGCGCCCCCUUGUGGUCGGUGUACAGGUGGUGCAUGGUUGUCGUCAGCUCGUGUCGUGAGAUGUUGGGUUAAGUCCCGCAACGAGCGCAACCCUCGUUCUGUGUUGCCAGCGGGUUAUGCCGGGGACUCACAGGAGACUGCCGGGGUCAACUCGGAGGAAGGUGGGGAUGACGUCAAAUCAUCAUGCCCCUUAUGUCUUGGGCUGCACACGUGCUACAAUGGCCGGUACAAAGAGCUGCGAUGCCGCGAGGCGGAGCGAAUCUCAAAAAGCCGGUCUCAGUUCGGAUUGGGGUCUGCAACUCGACCCCAUGAAGUCGGAGUUGCUAGUAAUCGCAGAUCAGCAUUGCUGCGGUGAAUACGUUCCCGGGCCUUGUACACACCGCCCGUCACGUCACGAAAGUCGGUAACACCCGAAGCCGGUGGCCUAACCCCUUGUGGGAGGGAGCUGUCGAAAGUGGGACCAGCGAUUGGGACGAAGUCGUAACAAGGUAACC